AACGUUACGGGGAAACCGGAGCUAAUACCGGAUAAUAUUCGAACGCAUGGUUCGAUAGUGAAAGGUGGUUUUGCUAUCACUUAUAGAUGGACCCGCGCCGUAUUAGCUAGUUGGUAAGGUAACGGCUUACCAAGGCGACGAUACGUAGCCGACCUGAGAGGGUGAUCGGCCACACUGGAACUGAGACACGGUCCAGACUCCUACGGGAGGCAGCAGGA
rnacentral:rRNA from 1 species